rnacentral:rRNA from 1 species
UACGUACCGUACGAACGUUAUUCGGAAUUACUGGGCUUAAAGGGUUUGUAGGCGGCCUUGUAAGUCAGGUGUGAAAGCCCUCGGCUCAACCGAGGAAUAGCGCUUGAUACUGCAAGGCUUGAGGGAGACAGGGGUAAGCGGAACUGAUGGUGGAGCGGUGAAAUGCGUUGAUAUCAUCAGGAACACCGGUGGCGAAAGCGGCUUACUGGGUCUCUUCUGACGCUGAGGAACGAAAGCUAGGGUAGCAAACAGG